AUUGAACGCUGGCGGCAUGCCUAACACAUGCAAGUCGAACGGUAACAGGCCCUUCGGGGUGCUGACGAGUGGCGGAUGGGUGAGUAAUACUUAGGAAUCUACCCUGUAGUGGGGACGAACCCGGGAAACGUCGGCGUAAUACCGCAUACGCUCUACGGAGGAAAGCGGGGACCGGCAAGGCCUCGCGCUAUUGGAUGAGCCUAAGCCCGAUUAGCUAGUUGGUGGGGUAAUANCCUACCGAGGCAAUGAUCGGUAGCUGGUCUGAGAGGACGACCAGCCACACUGGGACUGAGACACGGCCCAGACUCCUACGGGAGGCAGCAGGUGGGGAAUAUUGGACAAUGGGCGAAGCCUGAUCCAGCGAUGCCGCGUGUG
rnacentral:rRNA from 1 species